UAACGCGUGGGAAUCUGCCCUUAGGUACGGAAUAACUCAGGGAAACUUGAGCUAAUACCGUAUAAUGACUCCGGUCCAAAGAUUUAUCGCCUGAGGAUGAGCCCGCGUCGGAUUAGCUAGUUGGUGAGGUAAGAGCUCACCAAGGCGACGAUCCGUAGCUGGUUUGAGAGGAUGAUCAGCCACACUGGGACUGAGACACGGCCCAGACUCCUACGGGAGGCAGCAGUGGGGAAUAUUGGACAAUGGGCGAAAGCCUGAUCCAGCAAUGCCGCGUGAGUGAUGAAGGCCUUAGGGUUGU
rnacentral:rRNA from 1 species